rnacentral:rRNA from 1 species
CCUACGGGAGGCAGCAGUGGGGAAUAUUGGGCAAUGGGCGCAAGCCUGACCCAGCAACGCCGCGUGAAGGAUGAAGGCUUUCGGGUUGUAAACUUCUUUUCUCAGGGACGAAGCAAGUGACGGUACCUGAGGAAUAAGCCACGGCUAACUACGUGCCAGCAGCCGCGGUAAUACGUAGGUGGCAAGCGUUAUCCGGAUUUACUCGGUGUAAAGGGCGUGUAGGCGGGGACGCAAGUCAGAUGUGAAAACCACGGGCUCAACCUGUGGCCUGCAUUUGAAACUGUGUUUCUUGAGUACUGUAGAGGCAGACGGAAUUCCUAGUGUAGCGGUGAAAUGCGUAGAUAUUAGGAGGAACACCAGUGGCGAAGGCGGUCUGCUGGACAGCAACUGACGCUGAGGCGCGAAAGCGUGGGGAGCAAACAGGAUUAGAUACCCUUGUAGUC